rnacentral:rRNA from 1 species
UACGGGGGGGGGCAAGCGUUGUUCGGAAUUACUGGGCGUAAAGAGCUCGUAGGUGGCUUGUUGCGUCUGCCGUGAAAGCCCGUGGCUUAACUACGGGUCUGCGGUGGAUACGGGCAGGCUAGAGGCUGGUAGGGGCAAGCGGAAUUCCUGGUGUAGCGGUGAAAUGCGCAGAUAUCAGGAGGAACACCGGUGGCGAAGGCGGCUUGCUGGGCCAGUUCUGACGCUGAGGAGCGAAAGCGUGGGGAGCGAACAGG